CGGCGUGCCUAACACAUGCAAGUCGAACGGGGAUUUGUUUCGGCAGAAUCCUAGUGGCGAACGGGCGAGUAACGCGUAGGCAACCUGCCCUCCGGCCGGGGACAACACUCCGAAAGGGGUGCUAAUACCGGAUACGAAGUCUGUGCCGCAUGGUACGGAUUUGAAAGAUGGCCUCUAUUUAUAAGCUAUCGCCGGGGGAUGGGCCUGCGUCCGAUUAGCUGGUUGGUGGGGUAACGGCCUACCAAGGCGACGAUCGGUAGCCGGUCUGAGAGGAUGAACGGCCACAUUGGGACUGAGACACGGCCCAGACUCCUACGGGAGGCAGCAGUGGGGAAUCUUCCGCAAUGGGCGCAAGCCUGACGGAGCAACGCCGCCGUGAGUGAGGAAGUUCUUCGGAACGUAAAGCUCUGUUGUUCCUGACGAACCUCCCCUCUAUCAACAACGGAGGGGACUGACGGUAGGGAACGAGGAAGCCACGGCUAACUACGUGCCAGCCGCGGC
rnacentral:rRNA from 1 species